UACAGAGGACACUCAGUGGCUAGGAGGAACUAGAGAGGCCACUCAGUGGCUAGGAGGAGCUAGAGAGGACACUCAGUGGCUAGGAGGCUUGCUGUUUUCCCAGAAGACCUCUGUGUUCCCAACACUCAUAUCAGGCAGCUUACAAAUGUCUGUAAUUCCAUCUCCAGGGAGAUUCAACACCUCGGUACUCUUCAGGUACCACACACAUGGCAUACACACAUGCUUAUGCAUGUGCAUGCUCACGAGACAUUGGUUACAUGUUUGAAAUUCUCAACUGGCACACUAAAAAAGAUGAUAAAGACCUUGUAAAUGAAGGAUGAUUGUGAAAUUCUGUAAAAACAGAAUUCCCAACCCAAAUGAAGCAGAGCUCAGUCAGCCAGACUUGGAGCAUUGGCAGGAGCAUUGGCAGGAAUUGAACACCACCACCACCACCACCAACAGCCAUCAUCCAGGCUAGCUCUCUGCCGGGUCAUGUUGGAUCAGCAUCGCUUAAUGCUCUAUGGUCUUUUAAUGCAGUUCAAUUACAGAACCAUUACUUGAUGUACCAUUUUUGUUUCCAAAGUGGCAUUAAAGAACCUAGCAUGAGAAACUCACCCAA